UUCUUUUCUCCAACUCUAAACCUUCUAAACCUCAAGGUUCCAGCCCCAAACACUUAGAAUCAUAACCUCCUCAACAUACAAUAGAUUUCAACUCAAAAUCACAACCGGAAACAUGUCCCAAAUCAACAAGGGACCUCAACAACACAAUCAACAAUAUCAACAACACAACCAACAAUUUCAACAACACAAUCAAUCUUUUCUCAAUAA
rnacentral:lncRNA from 1 species